CAGUCGCCGCGGUAAUACGUAGGGUGCAAGCGUUAUCCGGAAUUAUUGGGCGUAAAGAGCUCGUAGGCGGUCUGUCGCGUCUGCUGUGAAAACUGGGGGCUCAACCCCCAGCCUGCAGUGGGUACGGGCAGACUAGAGUGCGGUAGGGGAGAUUGGAACUCCUGGUGUAGCGGUGGAAUGCGCAGAUAUCAGGAAGAACACCGAUGGCGAAGGCAGAUCUCUGGGCCGUAACUGACGCUGAGGAGCGAAAGCAUGGGGAGCGAACAGGAUUAGAUACCCGUGUAGUCCCUGUCUCUUAUAC
rnacentral:rRNA from 1 species